CGAGUAGCUGGGACUACAGGCAUGUGCCACCACACCCUGCUAAUUUUUUGUAUUUUUAGUAGAGACGGGGUUCCCCAUGUUGGCCAGGAUGGUCUCAAUCUCUUGACCUCAUGAUCCACCCACUUCAGCCUCCCAAAGUGCUGGGAUUACAGGCAUGAGCCACCAUACCUGGCCGGUUUGUUACCUUUUGAAGAAGAAAAGGCCCACAGGAGGGUUGAUACAGCAACCACAUCCCUGUCAUUCACCAACGCUUAAUGUCUGGCACAUAGAGGUGCCAGUAAAUAUUGAAUGAUUAGGAUCAGUAACUCAAAAUAAGUCUACAGGGCAAUACAGGAACAGGGGUAGGGAGGUAAAAAAAAAAAUUGGAGCUGAUCAGAGCAUGGGAAGAGGGCAAAGCAAAUGGAGACGGUGGUGAGGGACCUUUGGAAGCUGAGGGGCUCACAGACUCACAUUACCUUUUCAUUCUUUUCUCCUUCAAAAAUUCAAAGAUGAACAAUUUUUUUUCUCUGAGCAAAUUAUCCCAUUUAAACAUUCAUGAAUUAACCACAUUAACCUACUUUCAAUGCAAAGAAGAAAAAUGGUUUCUGUCUCAUACAUUUCAGCUGUCUUAUUCUCUAUGAAAGAAACUUUACUUCGAAAUGGAAAGUAGGUUUGGGUUCAUCUCUGAUUUUUGACUCACAUUAUACAACCUCUGUGGUUAAGCUGUGAGAAUGUAUAAAAUUCCUGUCAGCCAUUGCUGGGGCUUCAGAGCAUGACUGGGUAGUGCCCAGGUGGGCAGAGCACUGUCUGAUAAUCUUUGCUCCCUAAUAACUGAAAUCCAGAAUAGAUAAUAUUCUCCAUUCAUUCAAAAUGUCUGUCCUGUGCUUCAUGCAGAGGAUACAAACAGAAGAACACUUGGUCCCUGUCUUCAGGGCAUUCACAGGCUUGUCAGUCUGGGCAUUAGAGAGGAUAAAAAAUGAACCAAGCAAUAAUCAAUGGGAAAAAGCUGUUUCAUGCCUUAACAUGACAUAAAUAUAAAAACCAUACAGGGAACAACAGAUGAAAAUAAAAACACGAAGGCUACAAUAAAUGCCAGUGACAAAAACAAAGGCACUGUUCAGUUCUACUUAACAGCAGACAGAUUUAGGAAUCAAACCCUGACACAUUUUAAGGUUCUAGGUCUACUGUUUAAAAAAUCCAAAAUAUGUUAUCCAAGUCUGAAUACAUUAAUGAGACACUGUAAAAGCUUUUAGCUGUAAGGUAUUAUUACUGUGUCAGUCAGAGUCCUUGAAGAAAACAGAAGACACAUUUAAACUGGGAUUACUUAAGGAGAGUUUAAUAAAGGGAACCUGACCCACUCAUUCUACAUGGAUUUUCUACAUAAAAAGAUUUGGUCCUGAAUUUGUGAAAGAGCCCGUUUUCUGCACUAGAGGGACUAUUUCUUCCUUAAUAUGCUUUCUGGCUGUAUGUAUGUACGUAUUUAUUUUUUGAGACAGAGUCUUGCUCUGUCACUCAGGCUGGAGUGCAGUGGUGCAAUUACACCU
rnacentral:lncRNA from 1 species